rnacentral:rRNA from 1 species
UACGUAGGGGGGCGAGCGUUAUCCGGAUUUACUGGGCGUAAAGCGCGUUAAGGCGGUUGGCAAAGUUGGUUGUGAAAUCUCAGGGCUCAACCCUGAAAUUGCGACCAAUACUGGUCGACUAGAGUGUGAGAGAGGAAGGUGGAAUUCCCGGUGUAGUAGUGAAAUGCGUAGAUAUCGGGAGGAACACCAGUGGCGAAGGCGGCCUUCUGGCUCAUAACUGACGCUGUAGCGCGAAAGCGUGGGGAGCGAACCGG